CGCCCUACGGGACGCAGCAGUGGGGAAUAUUGCACAAUGGGGGAAACCCUGAUGCAGCGACGCCGCGUGAGUGAAGAAGUAUUUCGGUAUGUAAAGCUCUAUCAGCAGGGAAGAAGCAAGACGGUACCUGACUAAGAAGCCCCGGCUAACUACGUGCCAGCAGCCGCGGUAAUACGUAGGGGGCAAGCGUUAUCCGGAUUUACUGGGUGUAAAGGGAGCGUAGACGGUAUGGCAAGUCUGAAGUGAAAGCCCA
rnacentral:rRNA from 1 species